GAUGAAGAACGUAUCGAAACGCGAUAUUUCUUGUGAAUUGCAGAAGUGAAUCAUCAGUUUUUGAACGCACAUUGCACUUUGGGGUAUCCCCCAAAGUAUACUUGUUUGAGCGUUGUUUCUCUCUUGGAAUUGCUUUGCUCUUCUAAAAUUUCGAAUCAAAUUCGUUUGAAAAACAACACUAUUCAACCUCAGAUCAAGUAGGAUUACCCGCUGAACUUAAGCAUAUCAAUAAGCGGAGGA
rnacentral:misc_RNA from 1 species